rnacentral:rRNA from 1 species
UUUGGCGGCGUGCUUAACACAUGCAAGUCGUACGAGAACACCCUAGCUUGCUAGGGUAAGUAAAGUGGCGCACGGGUGAGUAACGCGUGGGUAAUCUACCUUCGAAUUGGGGAUAACGUUGCGAAAGCGACGCUAAUACCGAAUAACAUCCAUUAAUCUUCGGGUUUUUGGAUCAAUGGUGGCCUCUACAUGUAAGCUACUGUUUGAAGAUGAGCCCGCGUACCAUUAGCUUGUUGGUGGGGUAAAGGCCUACCAAGGCUUCGAUGGUUAGCUGGUCUGAGAGGAUGAUCAGCCACACUGGAACUGACACACGGUCCAGACUCCUACGGGAAGCAGCAGUGAGGAAUUUUGCGCAAUGGGGGAAACCCUGACGCAGCAACGCCGCGUGAGUGAUGAAGGCUUUCGGGUCGUAAAGCUCUGUCAAGUGGGAAGAACCUGCAGUAUGCUAAUAUCUUACUGCACUGACGGCACCACUGAAGGAAGCACCGGCUAACUCCGUGCCAGCAGCCGCGGUAAUACGGGGGGUGCAAGCGUUAUUCGGAAUCAUUGGCCGUAAAGAGCACGUAGGCGGCUUGGUAAGUCAGAUGUGAAAGCCCGGGGCUUAACG